rnacentral:rRNA from 1 species
UGGCGGACGGGUAAGUAACACGUAAGAAUUUACCUUUAGGAGGGGGAUAACAGCUGGAAACGGUUGCUAAUACCCCAUAUGCUUUCGAGUGAAAUGGAUUUCUGCCUAAAGAGAAGCUUGCGGCUGAUUAGCUUGUUGGUGAGGUAAUGGCUCACCAAGGCGACGAUCAGUAUCUGGUUUGAGAGGAUGAUCAGACACACUGGAACUGAGACACGGUUCAGACUCCUGCGGGAGGCAGCAGUGGGGAAUUUUCCGCAAUGGGCGAAAGCCUGACGGAGCAAUACCGCGUGAAGGAUGACUGCCUAUGGGUUGUAAACUUCUUUUUUCAGGGAGGAAUCAAUGACGUGUACCUGAAGAAUAAGCAUCGGCUAACUCCGUGCCAGCAGCCGCGGUAAGACGGAGGAUGCAAGUGUUAUCCGGAAUCACUGGGCGUAAAGCGUCUGUAGGUGGUCUAACAAGUCAACUGUUAAAUCUUGAGGCUCAACCUCAAAACUGCAGUUGAAACUGCUAAACUAGAGUAUAGUAGGGGUAAAGGGAAUUUCCAGUGGAGCGGUGAAAUGCGUAGAGAUUGGAAGGAACACCGAUGGCGAAGGCACUUUACUGGGCUAUUACUGACACUCAGAGACGAAAGCUAGGGUAGCAAAUGGGAUUAGAUACCCCAGUAGUCCUAUGCUGUAAACGAUGGAUACUAGAUGUUGGACAGAUCGACCUGUGCAGUAUUCAAGCUAACGCGUUAAGUAUCCCGCCUGGG